AGUCUCUAGUAAUGUUAUUGCUAGUCACUAAUGUUUUAUUAGUUACCGCGUAUAGUUCAAGAUUAUCUAGCGUGAUGGUGAAACCAAUGUUAGAAAACAAUAUAAACACGCUUAGUGAAUUAGCUGCGAGUAAUCUACAGUUAUUAUUCUUUGAUUACUAUUACUGGCCUCUUAAAACUGAUGAACGACCAGUUUACCGGAAAUUAUACGAAAAAAUUGUAGUGAUUUCAAACCGUAGUGAUUAUGAACUGUCUAGGACAUUGUUAUCGAGUAGAGAGUAUGCUGUUGCAAGAUAUCGACGAAUUAAUGGAGAUUAUUUUGAAGAUGAAGAGUAUUUGCAACAAAUGCAAGGAAAAUAUAAACCAAUCACGCCUGAAUUGUUUACGAAUUACUAUUAUAUUCUCUUGAGGAAGAACUCGAUGCAUACUUAUCAAUUACAAGAACUUGUACGAACAGCUGAAGAAGCGGGGUUGAUGAGAUUUUGGGAGGAAGACGCGUUAAGAUUUAAAUCAGACAUGUUGUUUCAAAAACAAAUGCAGGAGUUUACGAUUGACAAUAACAAUGUUAUUUUGAAUAUGCUCCAUUUGAAGGGGAUCUUUGCAUUUUGGG